GGGGGAGCAGUUAAAGAAGAAGGACGGAGAGAUGUGUGCCACAUUGAAGUAGCAGCUGGCCCUCUUGGCACUUCUAGAAUCCUCCAUCUCAAUCUCUGCUCUGAUCUGCAGUGCCUUUGCCAAGUGAUCACGAGUUUAUUGCAGUGGUGCCCCCCUGCAUCACCACCUUCUGUUACAUCAACUCCAACUGCCUGUGACAGAAGAAAAGUUCACAAGACGUUCUGAAAUGGAAUUGUGAUUGGAGUGAGACGGCCACAAUUAUGUAUGCUGGGAUGUGCAGAGGGGGCUGUGUGGGCUUUGGCUUGGGACCCCCAGAGGUUUAUUAUCUCCAGUGUCCUUGAAGGCUGCAAGUUUGUCUUUGUCCCCAGCCAUUUGACCAGACAGUGUAUUUAUUACAAAGGACAAGGACCUCCUCCAUUUUCUUCUUAUUUACUUUUAUAAUACCUUCAGUUUUCUUUGUAACUGUAUAUUUUUGUGGGGCAAUUUGAGCAACACUUGUAAGCAAAGGUGAUAUAAAAAUAUUAUCAGUGAACAAAUACAGUAUUAAAGGACAGAUCAGGAAAAAUGUCAGUUUAAAUAGAAUACAUUUUUUAUGGAAUAUUGCUGGAUAACAACUCUUUGACUCUGAGUAGCAUCUUGUUCAUAAAGCUAAAAUAGCAUUUUUCCUUUUUGACAAGUUUAAUGAUUCACUUUUAUUGUGUUCAAAACCUUGACUAACAUUUUUUUAAAAUACUAAGGUAAAAAUCUGUAAAUAUAUUUGUGUUCUCAUUCCUUAAUAGUUUUUAACACCUCCCCUAGUUGGCCAUUUUCAUUGUAGUUGUGUUUUAGUUAAAUGCAUUUACCAUUUAUACAUCUUUAUGAUUACUGAAUUUUCAACUCAUAAUAUAUAUACAGUAUAUAUACAUAUAAAUAUGGAUGUGUGUAUAAUUUUUUUUUUGAGAAACAUUGUUCACAGAUCUUUCACUUUUAUUUUUAAACAUACCAUUUAUUUCUUCAAUAAAAAAAUGUAUGAAUAAGUGUAUUGUAUUUCUUUUUUUUUUAAGUUAUAAAAAUGAACUGGCUCUGUAUCAAUAUGGGUGAAUAAAACCAUUGACAUGAGGCGAGUCUGCACACAAA